UACGGAGGGUGCAAGCGUUAUCCGGAUUUACUGGGUUUAAAGGGUGCGCAGGCGGAUAUGUAAGUCAGUGGUGAAAUCUUCCCGCUUAACGGGGAACUGCCGUUGAUACUAUAUAUCUUGAAUGCUGUGGAGGUAAGCAGAAUAUGUCAUGUAGCGGUGAAAUGCUUAGAGAUGACAUAGAAUACCUAUUGCGAAGGCAGCUUACUACACAGAUAUUGACGCUCAUGCACGAAAGCGUGGGGAUCAAACAGG
rnacentral:rRNA from 1 species